rnacentral:rRNA from 1 species
UUAUGCAGCCGUAUCACCCUGCAGCCCAAGACCGGUUACUCACUGUAGCUAAGCAGGGGUUAGCCUGGUAAGUACCUGGAUGGAAGACCACUUGGGAAAACCGCUGUUUAAU